UACGAAGGGUGCAAGCGUUACUCGGAAUUACUGGGCGUAAAGCGUGCGUAGGCGGUUCGUUAAGUCUGUCGUGAAAGCCCUGGGCUCAACCUGGGAAUUGCGAUGGAUACUGGCGAGCUAGAGUACGGUAGAGGAUGGUGGAAUUCCCGGUGUAGCGGUGAAAUGCGUAGAGAUCGGGAGGAACACCCGUGGCGAAGGCGGCCAUCUGGACCAGUACUGACGCUGAGGCACGGAAAAGCGUGGGGGAGCAAACAGG
rnacentral:rRNA from 1 species